GGACGAACGCUGGCGGCGUGCCUAAUACAUGCAAGUCGAACGAACUCUGGUAUUGAUUGGUGCUUGCAUCAUGAUUUACAUUUGAGUGAGUGGCGAACUGGUGAGUAACACGUGGGAAACCUGCCCAGAAGCGGGGGAUAACACCUGGAAACAGAUGCUAAUACCGCAUAACAACUUGGACCGCAUGGUCCGAGUUUGAAAGAUGGCUUCGGCUAUCACUUUUGGAUGGUCCCGCGGCGUAUUAGCUAGAUGGUGGGGUAACGGCUCACCAUGGCAAUGAUACGUAGCCGACCUGAGAGGGUAAUCGGCCACAUUGGGACUGAGACACGGCCCAAACUCCUACGGGAGGCAGCAGUAGGGAAUCUUCCACAAUGGACGAAAGUCUGAUGGAGCAACGCCGCGUGAGUGAAGAAGGGUUUCGGCUCGUAAAACUCUGUUGUUAAAGAAGAACAUAUCUGAGAGUAACUGUUCAGGUAUUGACGGUAUUUAACCAGAAAGCCACGGCUAACUACGUGCCAGCAGCCGCGGUAAUACGUAGGUGGCAAGCGUUGUCCGGAUUUAUUGGGCGUAAAGCGAGCGCAGGCGGUUUUUUAAGUCUGAUGUGAAAGCCUUCGGCUCAACCGAAGAAGUGCAUCGGAAACUGGGAAACUUGAGUGCAGAAGAGGACAGUGGAACUCCAUGUGUAGCGGUGAAAUGCGUAGAUAUAUGGAAGAACACCAGUGGCGAAGGCGGCUGUCUGGUCUGUAACUGACGCUGAGGCUCGAAAGUAUGGGUAGCAAACAGGAUUAGAUACCCUGGUAGUCCAUACCGUAAACGAUGAAUGCUAAGUGUUGGAGGGUUUCCGCCCUUCAGUGCUGCAGCUAACGCAUUAAGCAUUCCGCCUGGGGAGUACGGCCGCAAGGCUGAAACUCAAAGGAAUUGACGGGGGCCCGCACAAGCGGUGGAGCAUGUGGUUUAAUUCGAAGCUACGCGAAGAACCUUACCAGGUCUUGACAUACUAUGCAAAUCUAAGAGAUUAGACAUUCCCUUCGGGGACAUGGAUACAGGUGGUGCAUGGUUGUCGUCAGCUCGUGUCGUGAGAUGUUGGGUUAAGUCCCGCAACGAGCGCAACCCUUAUUAUCAGUUGCCAGCAUUAAGUUGGGCACUCUGGUGAGACUGCCGGUGACAAACCGGAGGAAGGUGGGGAUGACGUCAAAUCAUCAUGCCCCUUAUGACCUGGGCUACACACGUGCUACAAUGGAUGGUACAACGAGUUGCGAACUCGCGAGAGUAAGCUAAUCUCUUAAAGCCAUUCUCAGUUCGGAUUGUAGGCUGCAACUCGCCUACAUGAAGUCGGAAUCGCUAGUAAUCGCGGAUCAGCAUGCCGCGGUGAAUACGUUCCCGGGCCUUGUACACACCGCCCGUCACACCAUGAGAGUUUGUAACACCCAAAGUCGGUGGGGUAACCUUUUAGGAACCAGCCGCCUAAGGUGGGACAGAUGAUUAGGGUG
rnacentral:rRNA from 1 species